ACUCACAUUCCAGCCAAUCAGCAGCAGACCCUCCCUCCCAGACCCUCCCACCUCCUGGACAGCAUCCAUUUUGAAGCUGCAUUCUUAGUGAGCUGUCCAGGAGGUGGGAGGGUCUGGGAGGGAGGGUCUGCUGCUGAUUGGCUGGAAUGUGUCU